UAGGGAAUCUUCCGCAAUGGGCGAAAGCCUGACGGAGCAACGCCGCGUGAGUGAUGAAGGUCUUCGGAUCGUAAAACUCUGUUAUUAGGGAAGAACAAAUGUGUAAGUAACUAUGCACGUCUUGACGGUACCUAAUCAGAAAGCCACGGCUAACUACGUGCCAGCAGCCGCGGUAAUACGUAGGUGGCAAGCGUUAUCCGGAAUUAUUGGGCGUAAAGCGCGCGUAGGCGGUUUUUUAAGUCUGAUGUGAAAGCCCACGGCUCAACCGUGGAGGGUCAUUGGAAACUGGAUAACUUGAGUGCAGAGGGGGAAAGUGGAAUUCCAUGUGUAGCGGUGAAAUGCGCAGAGAUAUGGAGGAACACCAGUGGCGAAGGCGACUUUCUGGUCUGUAACUGACGCUGAUGUGCGAAAGCGUGGGGAUCAAACAGG
rnacentral:rRNA from 1 species